UACGUAGGGCGCAAGCGUUAUCCGGAAUUAUUGGGCGUAAAGAGCUCGUAGGCGGUUUGUCGCGUCUGCCGUGAAAGUCCGGGGCUCAACUCCGGAUCUGCGGUGGGUACGGGCAGACUAGAGUGCGGUAGGGGAGACUGGAAUUCCUGGUGUAGCGGUGAAAUGCGCAGAUAUCAGGAGGAACACCGAUGGCGAAGGCAGCUCGCUGGGACGGUGACUGACGCUGAGGCGCGAAAGCCAGGGGAGCAAACGGG
rnacentral:rRNA from 1 species